GUGCCAGCCGCCGCGGUAAUACGUAGGUGGCAAGCGUUGUCCGGAAUCAUUGGGCGUAAAGAGCGCGUAGGUGGCUUGUCAGGUCUGAUGUGAAAUCCUGGGGCUCAACUCCAGAACUGCAUCGGAAACCGGCUUGCUAGAGUCUGGGAGAGGAGAGUGGAAUUCCUGGUGUAGCGGUGAAAUGCGUAGAUAUCAGGAGGAACACCGGUAGCGAAGGCGGCUCUCUGGAACAGUACUGACGCUGAGGCGCGAAAGCUAGGGGAGCGAACAGGAUUAGAAACCCUUGUAGUCC
rnacentral:rRNA from 1 species